rnacentral:tRNA from 1 species
UAGAAAUAAAAGGUAAUUUAUUCCUUUGUCUAUUGGUUUCAAGCCAAUCGCAUAUACUCUGCCAUAUUUCC